rnacentral:tRNA from 1 species
GAUGAGGUGGCCGAGUGGAUUAAGGCGUUCCCCUGCUAAGGGAAUAUAUAUUUAUAUCAAGGGUUCGAAUCCCUUCCUCAUCG